rnacentral:rRNA from 1 species
GAAACUCAGGCUAAUACCGCAUAAUCUCUACGGAGGAAAGACUUCGGUCGCUACUGGAUGAGCCUAUGUCUGAUUAGCUUGUUGGUGGGGUAAUGGCCUACCAAGGCAACGAUCAGUAGCUGGUCUGAGAGGACGACCAGCCACACUGGGACUGAGACACGGCCCAGACUCCUACGGGAGGCAGCAGUGGGGAAUAUUGCACAAUGGGCGAAAGCCUGAUGCAGCAAUGCCGCGUGUGUGAAGAAGGCCUGCGGGUUGUAAAGCACUUUCAGUAGGGAGGAUUAUGACGUUACCUACAGAAGAAGCACCGGCUAACUCUGUGCCAGCAGCCGCGGUAAUACAGAGGGUGCGAGCGUUAAUCGGAAUUACUGGGCGUAAAGCGCGCGUAGGCGGCUUGGUCAGUCGGAUGUGAAAGCCCCGGGCUUAACCUGGGAAUUGCAUUCGAUACUGCCAGGCUGGAGUGUAGUAGAGGGAAGCGGAAUUCCGGGUGUAGCGGUGAAAUGCGUAGAGAUCCGGAGGAACAUCAGUGGCGAAGGCGGCUUCCUGGACUAACACUGACGCUGAGGUGCGAAAGCGUGGGGAGCA